UGGGGAAUAUUGGGCAAUGGGCGAAAGCCUGACCCAGCAACGCCGCGUGAGGGAAGAAGGUUUUCGGAUCGUAAACCUCUGUCCUUGGUGAAGAGAAGAAGACGGUAGCCAAGGAGGAAGCCCCGGCUAACUACGUGCCAGCAGCCGCGGUAAUACGUAGGGGGCGAGCGUUGUCCGGAAUGAUUGGGCGUAAAGGGCGCGUAGGCGGCCUGUUAAGUCUGGAGUGAAAGUCCCGUUUUUAAGGUGGGAAUUGCUUUGGAAACUGGCGGGCUGGAGUGCAGGAGAGGUUAGCGGAAUUCCCGGUGUAGCGGUGAAAUGCGUAGAGAUCGGGAGGAACACCAGUGGCGAAGGCGGCUAACUGGACUGUAACUGACGCUGAAGCGCGAAAGUGUGGGGAGCAAACAGG
rnacentral:rRNA from 2 species